rnacentral:rRNA from 2 species
UUUAUGGAGAGUUUGAUCCUGGCUCAGGAUGAACGCUGGCGGCGUGCCUAAUACAUGCAAGUCGAGCGAACAGAUGAGAAGCUUGCUUCUCUGAUGUUAGCGGCGGACGGGUGAGUAACACGUGGGUAACCUACCUAUAAGACUGGGAUAACUCCGGGAAACCGGAGCUAAUACCGGAUAAUAUUUUGAACCGCAUGGUUCGAUAGUGAAAGACGGUUUCGGCUGUCACUUAUAGAUGGACCCGCGCCGUAUUAGCUAGUUGGUAAGGUAACGGCUUACCAAGGCGACGAUACGUAGCCGACCUGAGAGGGUGAUCGGCCACACUGGAA